rnacentral:ncRNA from 1 species
AUGAAACUGCCACCGGGUAGAGUGGUGCAAAGAGCACCCGCAGACACAUCGUUAGGUCUUAGAAGAUGUGUCUACGGGUGCCUUUUUUAU